rnacentral:miRNA from 14 species
GAUCCAGGACCAGGUCCAGAUUCUGGUUCAGGUCCUGGUUCUGGUCCAGGUCUAGGUCCAGGACCAGGACCAGGACCAGGUUCUGGUUCUGGUCCUGG